rnacentral:rRNA from 1 species
CAUGCAAGUCGAGCGAACAGAUGAGAAGCUUGCUUCUCUGAUGUUAGCGGCGGACGGGUGAGUAACACGUGGGUAACCUACCUAUAAGACUGGGAUAACUCCGGGAAACCGGGGCUAAUACCGGAUAAUAUUUUGAACCGCAUGGUUCAAUAGUGAAAGACGGUUUCGGCUGUCACUUAUAGAUGGACCCGCGCCGUAUUAGCUAGUUGGUAAGGUAACGGCUUACCAAGGCGACGAUACGUAGCCGACCUGAGAGGGUGAUCGGCCACACUGGAACUGAGACACGGUCCAGACUCCUACGGGAGGCAGCAGUAGGGAAUCUUCCGCAAUGGGCGAAAGCCUGACGGAGCAACGCCGCGUGAGUGAUGAAGGUCUUCGGAUCGUAAAACUCUGUUGUUAGGGAAGAACAAAUUUGUUAGUAACUGAACAAGUCUUGACGGUACCUAACCAGAAAGCCACGGCUAACUACGUGCCAGCAGCCGCGGUAAUACGUAGGUGGCAAGCGUUAUCCGGAAUUAUUGGGCGUAAAGCGCGCGUAGGCGGUUUCUUAAGUCUGAUGUGAAAGCCCACGGCUCAACCGUGGAGGGUCAUUGGAAACUGGGAAACUUGAGUGCAGAAGAGGAGAGUGGAAUUCCAUGUGUAGCGGUGAAAUGCGCAGAGAUAUGGAGGAACACCAGUGGCGAAGGCGGCUCUCUGGUCUGUAACUGACGCUGAUGUGCGAAAGCGUGGGGAUCAAACAGGAUUAGAUACCCUGGUAGUCCACGCCGUAAACGAUGAGUGCUAAGUGUUAG